GACGUAGGGCGCGAGCGUUGUCCGGAUUUAUUGGGCGUAAAGGGCUCGUAGGCGGCCAACUAAGUCAGACGUGAAAUCCCUCGGCUUAACCGGGGAACUGCGUCUGAUACUGGAUGGCUUGAGUUUGGGAGAGGGAUGCGGAAUUCCAGGUGUAGCGGUGAAAUGCGUAGAUAUCUGGAGGAACACCGGUGGCGAAGGCGGCAUCCUGGACCGACACUGACACUGAGGAGCGAAAGCCAGGGGAGCAAACGGG
rnacentral:rRNA from 1 species